ACACCUCAACUCCCAUGGUUUGCCAUGGUGAGCUUGGACUUUGGGGGUUUUGCUGGCCUGCGGUCAGCUCCUCUCAAAUGAAUUAGCCUGCCAGUGUUUGGUGGCAUCACAGGGGUGAUAAAUAUCUACGCUUGCGAUUGCCCACCAGGUAACCUUCAGCAAUGGGGGUUCGCUGGGGCUCAUAGACGUCUCUCCCCAAGUGAGGACAGUUUUUUAAC
rnacentral:misc_RNA from 1 species